UUUUUGAACAGAGGCAUGCCCUUUUUGUCGAAGAGUGCGGGAAGCUAUGACCGAGCUGGAUCUUUCUGCAGAGGUCUAUCCAUGUCCAAAAGGAUCAGUAAGACACAAAGAAAUCGUUCGUAAAAUUGGCGGUCAUGAGCAGUUUUGAUUCUUAUCAUUUGGAGCUUCUGAUGCUGUGGAGGUUUUCUGUGUUCCAAAAGUGUAGGCAGUUUGG